rnacentral:rRNA from 1 species
GACGGGGACCCGCACAAGCGGUGGAUGAUGUGGAUAAUUCGAUGCAACGCGAAAACCUUACCUACCCUUGACAUGUCCGGAAUCCUGCAGAGAUGCGGGAGUGCCCGAAAGGGAAUCGGAACACAGGUGCUGCAUGGCUGUCGUCAGCUCGUGUCGUGAGAUGUUGGGUUAAGUCCCGCAACGAGCGCAACCCUUAUCAUUAGUUGCUACGCAAGGGCACUCUAAUGAGACUGCCGGUGACAAACCGGAGGAAGGUGGGGAUGACGUCAAGUCCUCAUGGCCCUUAUGGGUAGGGCUUCACACGUCAUACAAUGGUCGGUACAGAGGGUUGCCAAGCCGCGAGGUGGAGCCAACCCCAGAAAGCCGAUCGUAGUCCGGAUUGUUCUCUGCAACUCGAGAGCAUGAAGUCGGAAUCGCUAGUAAUCGCGGAUCAGCAUGUCGCGGUGAAUACGUUCCCGGGUCUU